UAGCUAACGUUAACUAGUUUACACUAUGGAUGUUUUACGUCCAGCUCUUAUAAAUAUACAUGGAAGAAUAUACCGAAGGAAUGUCAUUAAGGACGAACAUUAUGAGGAAGAGGAAGAUAUGUCUUACAUGGGACCACCAGAGAGUGAAGACUUUGCAGAAGAUGAAUCCUGUGAUGCCAACUUCAUUGAGCAGACUGAUAAGGGAUACCGCUGUGCCAUUGAUGUGCCAAGUGUCCUUUACAAAUACAUCAUUGGGAAAAAAGGAGAGACACGCAGACGCCUGGAGUUUGAUACAAAGACAUCUAUCAGCAUCCCCAAACAAGGAGUGGAAGGACAGAUAGUUAUCACAGGUUCCCACAAAUCUGCGGUCUCAUCUGCAGUCACACGAGUCGAGGUCCUCAUUGAGAGUUUCCGGAAGAAGCAGCCUUUCACGCACUUCCUGUCAUUCCCUCUGAACGAUCCCAAAAUUCAAGAAGGAUUCCUGAGCUUUAAAGACGAGGUGUUGAAGCAGUGCUCACAGGAUCAUGGAGUAGAUGGAAGCAUCUUUCAGAACGCCGCAAAGCUUCACCUGACCAUCGGCACCCUGGCUCUGUUGAGUGACACAGAAGUGAGAAAAGCAUGUGAACACCUUCAGGAGUGUCAAAACGUCAUCAGGGACAUCACAGAAGGGAAUCCACUGCAGGUGGAGGUGACGGGUAUAGAGUACAUGAACGAUGACCCAGCCAUGGUGGACGUCUUGUAUGCCAAAGUCAAUGUGAAAGACAAGUCAGACAAGCUGCAGGUGAUUGCUGACCGGCUGGUAGAGCACUUUGUCUCAGCGGGGCUGAUGGUCAGAGAGUGGGACAGGGUGAAGCUGCACGGCACUGUGAUGAACACUCUGUUCAGAAAGGACUCCACAGUUGAAGACACGGGCGGCCCCGGAAGACAAGCCAUGAGUGAAAGAGAGGCUUUUGACGCCAGAAACAUUUUAAAGAAAUUUGGCACAUAUCAUUUUGGAGAGUUUGAGCUGAACACUGUCCUGCUGUCCCAGAGAUACUCGACAGAUUGUACGGGCUACUACACCUCCGCAGGAAGUGCCAGCUUCUCAUGAGCUUCAGCAGGGCUGAGGAGACUCUCAGCGAGGAGGCAGGUGAUCCCUGCAGCAGCUCUUUGUCAUUCAGAGCGCCGAGUCUGGAGGCUGCCUGCAGCUGUCCACGUCUGUUUACUGCUGGAGGCAUUCACACAGGGAGGAGAGGCAGAAGCCCGGUGUGUUUGAACAGCAGGUCAUGGAUGAGGAUUUCCCAUCAGAUGAUGAACACGAACGGACUCACAACAACGUCUCUUUGCAUCUUUGCUGAAUCUUGUUGAAAUCAGUCGGAAAAUGAACAUUUGUUUGGGUUGUGUUUUUCUUUCAUGGUGACAGGAGGUGCUACAUUUUAACAUUCUGCUUAAAUCUGGCGGGGAUGAAUAAAUAAAUGUGUAAAGCAUCCACCCUUGGCCUUUUGCAAUUAAUUGUUGUGUACCAGGGAUUCCUGAAGCGAUCCUCGCGGAGUUGUUACAUCAAGUGAGAAUAUGUACCGCCACGAUAAGCGGCGGAGCUCGUGUUGGGCCUUAUGAGCUGUUUGUAAGACAGAAAAUGGGAUGUGUUUGCUUUGCAGACGGCAAAUAUUUACAGAUAAACAACCUUUUGAAUUUUGC